rnacentral:tRNA from 1 species
GAGGGUGUGGCUCAGCGGUAGAGCGUGUGCUUGGCGCGCAUAGGGUCCUGGGCUCAAUCCCCAGUUCUGCCU